rnacentral:rRNA from 1 species
GAUGAACGCUGGCGGCGUGCUUAACACAUGCAAGUCGAACGGUGAACGAGGGAGCUUGCUCCCUCCGGAUCAGUGGCGAACGGGUGAGUAACACGUGAGCAAUCUGCCCUGGACUCUGGGAUAAGCGUUGGAAACGACGUCUAAUACCGGAUACGAGGCGUGGGGGCAUCCCCAACGCCUGGAAAGAACUUCGGUCCAGGAUGAGCUCGCGGCCUAUCAGCUAGUUGGUGAGGUAACGGCUCACCAAGGCGACGACGGGUAGCCGGCCUGGGAGGGUAACCGGCCACACUGGGACUGAGACACGGCCCAGACUCCUACGGGAGGCAGCAGUGGGGAAUAUUGCACAAUGGGCGCAAGCCUGAUGCAGCAACGCCGCGUGAGGGACGACGGCCUUCGGGUUGUAAACCUCCUUUAGCAGGGAAGAAGCGAAAGUGACGGUACCUGCAGAAAAAGCACCGGCUAACUACGUGCCAGCCGCCGCGGUAAAAC